UUCGACUCGAAAUGUCGCCUUUUCCUUUUCUCCAGAGAUGUUGCCUGACCCGCUGAGUUACUCCAGCUUUUUGUGGCUGCGGAUUAAACCAGCGCCUGCGGUUCCUUCCCUUCACAAUCGUUAAGGUGUUUGCAUAUUUGCAUCGGCUUGGACAAUCGGAGUCGAUUCUGACAGGCAGCAGUCGAGGCGGGGAUGCGGAGUGCCGGCCUGCCGGCACGUCUACUCCUGUCGAAGCUCCUCCCGCCUUCAGCAGUCCGUCCUGGGGGGAGCAGUUCACGGGGCAACCGCAACUCCGGUUGACAGGCGGCUGGAGCAGCGAGUGGGAGCGCACCGCUGAUGAGCGUUCACCAGUGGCCGAGGCAGGGGAGGGAAGCGUCGCUGACCUAAAGUUGACCGUCUGCGCCAGUGAAAUGGAUCCGAGUGCGUGUGAGCUGGGACCGGGUCUCUGUUCACACUUUCAGUAGCGGGGACGUGUGGUGUCGCCCUGUCGCCAUUGAUUUGCGGCUAGCAUAGGAGGUUUGAUCUGGAGUCGAGUACAAAUUGUAAAAGCCACUAACCCGCCCGCCUUUAAGAUACUGAAAAGAAGGGAGCACGACUUUUUGCAAAAGUUUGAAGAAGGGUCUCGAUCCGAAACGUCACUCAUUCCUUCUCUCCAGAGAUGCUGCCUAUCCCGUCGAGUUACUCCAGCAUUUAGUGUAUAUCUUUUUUUUUAAACUGAAGCUCGUUGUGUCCCGUUGUAGAGUGGGCUUGCAUGCCCACUUUUAAUUUGCGCGAACAUUGAUUUUUUUCUUGGAAAGUGCAUGUGGCUGUCGAUAAGGAUGUCUCGGGGGAUUUCUUCCCUUGAGUUUAUGUUUAUGUGGCAGGAUCGUUAUUGCAUUAACCCAUCAGAAGCAGCAGCCGCGAUUAACGCGGUCUGUGAGGAAUUUCUGACGGGAGGGAGCAUUUACGGCUGGUAAUCUUCAUACUAUGGGAUUUCUUGCUGGUGGACCUGAGCACUUUUUUUUUCGGUUACCGCCACACACCGGUAAACAACCUUCCCAAACUGAAACUUGAGCCAUCGGAUCCAGACCGAAUGCGAAAACAGGCUGAGGGUCUGUGCUCGCAGUUGAAAUCCGAUGCAGUAAAAGGUGCUUUUAAUCUAAUCCCGUGAAAAAUCCUAAUUCACAUGCCGUAUUCGUAAAGCCUUUUUAGAUAACUUCAGAACAUGGCACCUCGGUAAUUUAUUGAACUAUCCCACCUCCCCAACUACACAUCCUUUUUAAAAUUUGCAUAAAUAUCUAGCUAGUUACUCUGAUUAAAGGAUCAAUGUCCAUUAUUUGAUUUGGUCUUUUAUGCUUUUAAAAAAUAUAUUAAGUGUGCUUAUUAACACAUGAAUUGUACGGAAACUAGAAAAUGUCAAAUUGAUCCUGGAACAUGCUUUUCCUAGGAAUGUGUUAAAGCACAUUGGUUUUGAAAUUAAUGUGUUUAUAUGUAUUUGCUGUUUUUCUGGAGGUGUUAAACUAGUUAAAAUAAAAAUGUGAUCUCAUCUAAAAAAUGCUUCCACUGGAUACUGAAAGUGAGAAAAUGUUUUCAUUUUCAAAACCAUGCUGGAUAAUUUCACUGAUGGAGAGGGAAUUUUGAAAUCUCUGUAUGAGACUAAUUAUUGAAUUUAUUAAAUCAACACCAGAACACUUGACACAUGGACAUUUGUAAGUUAAAAAUGAACGGGGGUGUCUAUAGCAAAUCUGCAUCUGAUAGUGUCAUAGGGAAAUUUUCCUGUGGAUUGAUUACGAAUGUAUUUCUUAGAGUGUAAUUAUUUUUUGCAAGCAUUGCAUGUCUGCAUUUGCUACUAUAAAGUACAAUUUAUCCAUGCCCAAGAUGAUAUACCUUUUAGACCUAUUUGCUUUUUUAAUUCUUAUUUCAAAUUCUUCACUAAUCUUAAUUUCUUCGACCGCCUCUAUCUUUUUUGAGAUGUGUGUUCCUCUAACUCUUGACCUGUUGAUGGUCCUUGAAUGUAAUUGCCCUACAUGCAUGUUAAUAGUUGUUAAGGCAUUAAACUUUCUAAUUCUUUCCAUGAAUCUGUGUUGCUAUACCUCUUCAUUCAAUUGAAAGCAGUUCUCAUCUGCCUCUUAUCUUCCUUGGCCCAAUGGCAGUUUAUAUUUGUUCCUGUGAAGUGCUCUGGGAUGUUUUGUUGCAUCAAAGGUACUUUAUAAAUGAA